rfam:Streptomyces sp. AVP053T2 APS67_contig000004, whole genome shotgun sequence.
CUUCACCGACCCCAGCCACAACGGACGCCCCGCAUCCCGCCCCUGCCCAUACGCCGCCAGCAACGCCUGCGCCUC